rnacentral:rRNA from 1 species
UACGGAGGGGGCUAGCGUUGUUCGGAAUUACUGGGCGUAAAGCGCACGUAGGCGGCUUUGCAGGUUAGAGGUGAAAGCCCGGAGUUUAACUCCGGAAUUGCCUUUAAAACUGCAUCGCUAGAAUUGUGGAGAGGUGAGUGGAAUUCCGAGUGUAGAGGUGAAAUUCGUAGAUAUUCGGAAGAACACCAGUGGCGAAGGCGACUCACUGGACACAUAUUGACGCUGGGGUGCGAAAGCGUGGGGAGCAAACAGG